GACGUACUGGUUUCAGCACCUCCGCGAUGGCGCCGGCUUCACUGAUGGUUACCAUCGCAAUAACCUUGUGCUCCGUUAAUGGUGUAUACUCUACGAGCUUUCCUGUCGCUGUAUUGCCAUCUGAAGUAUUUGACGAAGUGUUGAUUUACUGCGAAGACGGGUCUUCUGCGACUCCAGACGCUAGAUGUAACCGGUUUCAGGACUGCCUUAGCGGAAAAGACGAACACGAUUGUGAAAGCGUACUUUGUCCGUCUGUGUGCAGAUGUACGUAUUCGAGAAGUCAGUGUUUUCAGGGCUGGAAUCUUCAAACCAUUCGUAGUUUAAACAAGACAAUCUGU